CCCUUAGAUGUCCUGGGCCGCACGCGCGCUACACUGACAUGUUCAACAAGUUUCUCCUAGUUCGACAGGACUGGGGAAUCUUUGAACGCAUGUCGUGAUAGGGAUAGAUCAUUGCAAUUAUUGAUCUUGAACGAGGAAUUCCUAGUAAACGCGAGUCAUCAGCUCGCAUUGAUUACGUCCCUGCCCUUUGUACACACCGCCCGUCGCACCUACCGAUUGAAUGUUUCGGUGAAGAUUCCGGAUAGGACUGAUUUGAUUUAUUUCAUUUCUGACCUAAAAGCUAUCUAAACCUCAACAUUUAGAGGAAGGUGAAGUCGUAACA
rnacentral:rRNA from 1 species